rnacentral:rRNA from 1 species
GAUCGAUGAAGACCGCAGCUAAAUGCGCGUCACAAUGUGAACUGCAGGACACAUGAACACCGAUACGUUGAACGCAUAUUGCGCGUCGGACGAUUAAACCCGGCCGAUGCACACAUUCUUGAGU